GGGCGAUUAGCUCAGUUGGGAGAGCAUCGCCCUUACAAGGCGAGGGUCACUGGUUCAAGCCCAGUAUCGCCCACCA
rnacentral:tRNA from 1 species